GACGAACGCUGGCGGCGUGCCUAAUACAUGCAAGUAGAACGCUGAAGGAGGAGCUUGCUCUUCUGGAUGAGUUGCGAACGGGUGAGUAACGCGUAGGUAACCUGCCUGGUAGCGGGGGAUAACUAUUGGAAACGAUAGCUAAUACCGCAUAACAUUGACUAUUGCAUGAUAGUCAAUUAAAAGUUGCAAAUGCACCACUACCAGAUGGACCUGCGUUGUAUUAGCUAGUUGGUGGGGUAACGGCUCACCAAGGCGACGAUACAUAGCCGACCUGAGAGGGGGAUCGGCCACACUGGGACUGAGACACGGCCCAGACUCCUACGGGAGGCAGCAGUAGGGAAUCUUCGGCAAUGGACGGAAGUCUGACCGAGCAACGCCGCGUGAGUGAAGAAGGUUUUCGGAUCGUAAAGCUCUGUUGUAAGAGAAGAACGAGUGUGAGAGUGGAAAGUUCACACUGUGACGGUAUCUUACCAGAAAGGGACGGCUAACUACGUG
rnacentral:rRNA from 1 species